UCUCAGGCUGUGACCCUCCAGAGGGAAGUAUUUUCUGUUGUCUGAAGGAAAAGAAAGUGCUUCCCUUUGGACUGUUUCGGUUUGAGA
rfam:Macaca mulatta chromosome 19, whole genome shotgun sequence.